UAAACAAUCGAUGGAUUUGGCGU
rnacentral:snRNA from 1 species